AGAGUUUGAUCCUGGCUCAGGACGAACGCUGGCGGCGUGCUUAACACAUGCAAGUCGAGCGAUGAAGUUUCUUCGGAAAUGGAUUAGCGGCGAACGGGUGAGGAACACGUGAAGAAUCUGCCCUCCACUUUGGGAUAACACAGGGAAACCUGUGCUAAUACCGAAUAUUGAAACAUAAGUGGCAUCACUGAGUUUUGAAAGAAUUUCGGUGGAGGAUGACUUCGCGGCCUAUCAGCUAGUUGGUGAGGUAAUGGCUCACCAAGGCAACGACGGGUAGCCGGCCUGAGAGGGCGACCGGCCACACUGGGACUGAGACACGGCCCAGACUCCUACGGGAGGCAGCAGUGGGGAAUAUUGGGCAAUGGAGGAAACUCUGACCCAGCGACGCCGCGUGCGGGAUGAAGGCCUUCGGGUUGUAAACCGCUUUCAGUAGGGAAGAAGCGAAAGUGACGGUACCUACAAAAGAAGCACCGGCUAACUAUGUGCCAGCAGCCGCGGUAAUACAUAGGGUGCAAGCGUUGUCCGGAAUUACUGGGCGUAAAGC
rnacentral:rRNA from 1 species